UGGGCAAGUCUGGUGCCAGCAGCCGCGGUAAUUCCAGCUCCAAUAGCGUAUAUUAAAGUUGUUGCAGUUAAAAAGCUCGUAGUUGAAUUUCGGGAUCAGUACGCUGGUCAUGCCUUUGGUAUGCACUGGUGUCACUGGUUUCUCCCUUCUGAAGAACCGUGAUGUCAUUAAUUUGGUGUCGCGGGGAAUCAGGACUGUUACUUUGAAAAAAUUAGAGUGUUUAAAGCAGGCUCACGCUUGAAUAUAUUAGCAUGGAAUAAUGAAAUAGGACGUUUGACCCUAUUUUGUUGGUUUCUAGGAUCGACGUAAUGAUUAAUAGGGAUAGUUGGGGGCAUUAGUAUUCAAUUGUCAGAGGUGAAUUUCUUGGAUUUAUUGAAGACUAACUACUGCGAAAGCAUUUGCCAGGGAUGUUUUCAUUAAUCAAGAACGAAAGUUAGGGGAUCGAAGACGAUCAGAUACCGUCGUAGUCUUAACCAUAAACUAUGCCGACUAGGGAUCGGAUGAUGUUAAUUUUNUAAUGACUCAUUCGGCGCCUUACGGGAAAC
rnacentral:rRNA from 1 species